UUUCCCUUUUAUCUCUCUCCUCCGUUAUCCUCUCCCUAAGCUCGCUCUCUGCAACAAUGGCGUCGGCCCUGUUUCUCACCAGCACGCCUCCAGUCUCUCUUGCUCGAAAAACUCAUCUGGUCAUGCCCUCUCUCCGACUUCGACCUCCGCCCCUCCUCCAUCGUCGCCACCAGUGGAGUCGCCACCGGAUCUGCUCGAGUGACGUGGACGCUCGCGAAUUGCUCCAUCCAUGGACGAGUGUCGGUGUCGCUCGCAAACUACCCCUAUUGUCUUCGGCAAGCUCGGCCGAGAGGCCUUUUUUUCGUGUCCUCAAUUUUCGCUUUUUAAGAGCUCGCCUGUCUGUCUUGAAUCUCUGUUCACCCACUCCCGAAGCUUCAGACGUGCGUCCCGCACCUCUUCGAUGUGGCCGGGCGAAGCAAUGUCCUCUCGAGAAGAUUCUAGAAAAGCUGUUCAACAGAAUCAAUUUUGAGGUUUGACGGAGUAGGAUUCAUUUCUUUUAGGGUAUAUAGACACAUUUCACAGAGAACAUAGAAGGAUGGAGGGGUACAGUCUCCAAAAACACAUUUUUUUGCAUGAAAAAGGAAGCAAAAGCUCAGAUGUUAUGGAGCUCCCAAAUUGUCAGCCACUCUCAAUCGUCGAAAUAAUAUCGCCGUGCCAUGAAUUAUCCUGCUCUACUCUCUAUUCUGCGAUCCGAGUACUUAAAGAACUUGGAUCCGGCUCAACACAACAUUGCUGGCUUUGAUUCUCAGCUUCUUCGUCACUGAGAAUCUUCCCCGUUGAUCUGACCUUCGUUUGCCGCCACCAACAAUUGAUUCCGCAAGAGUGUGAGGUACACUCUGUUUUACUCUGCUCUGCGGCCGGUUACGAAUUGAUGGAAUUGCUCCCGAAAUCUAUUCAUUCACUUUGAUUCCCACCGGCAGUUAUAGUUGAACUUUCUGUCCUUGAUCUCAUCACAGAUUGCAACUCCGUCAUCGUCCACAUACCAGGGGUGGGACAGGCUGGUGAGGUCGGAAUGAGCUGGUGGAGCAGCUUCUCGUGGCUUGCCGGAACAUGGCAGAUCAAGGUGGAAGGACUCAUUCAAUGACCGAUUAGAGUUCCAAAUUGGAGCUUUAUUUCAAUUUGACGAUGUAGGUUUUUUUUUUUAACUUUUGGGAAAGCUACUACAUCUCAUGCUUCAAAUGCUAAUUAGACCCUCCGGCAAGCCAUGUCGGCUUAAAAACUUCUACAAAAAGGCCGCAUCGGAUUUUUGGCCAAACAGAUCAGAGUUAGCACUAAAAGUUUUUCAAAAAAUUUGACAUUUAGAUGAGUUCUUGAAAAUUUUUAGUACUAAAGUAAACGCCA